rnacentral:rRNA from 1 species
CGGAGGGUGCAAGCGUUGUUCGGAAUUACUGGGCGUAAAGCGCGCGUAGGCGGGCGUAUAAGUCGGAUGUGAAAUCCCCAGGCUUAACCUGGGAAUUGCAUCCGAAACUGUAUGUCUUGAAUGCCUGAGAGGAUGACGGAAUUCCUGGUGUAGAAGUGAAAUUCGUAGAUAUCAGGAGGAACACCGGAGGCGAAGGCGGUUGUCUGGCGGUGCAUUGACGCUGAGGCGCGAAAGCGUGGGUAGCAAACAGGAUUAGAUACCCUGGUAGUCCACGCCGUAAACUAUGGAUACUAGGUGUCCGGGGUGUUAACCCCCUGGGUACCAAAGUUCACACAUUAAGUAUCCCGCCUGGGGAGUACGGUCGCAAGGCUA